rnacentral:rRNA from 1 species
GGACUACCCGGGUAUCUAAUCCUGUUUGCUACCCACGCUUUCGCUCUUCAGCGUCAGUCACGGCCCAGAGCGGCGCCUUCGCCACUGGUGUUCCUCCUGAUAUCUGCGCAUUUCACCGCUACACCAGGAAUUCCCCGCUCCCCUACCGCACUCGAGUCACAGCAGUAUCGGGUGGCGGCUCUGGGUUGAGCCCAGAGUUUUCACACCCGACUUACCGAACCGCCUACGAGCCCUUUACGCCCAAUAAAUCCGGACAACGCUUGGUGCCUACGUGUUACCGCGGCUGCUGGCAC